UUUUUUUUUUUUUUAAAUUACACAGUUAGUGUUCUUUGGUUACAGUUAUGGACAACAUAAACAUUUCUUUCUUUUGUCUCCUUACAGGAACAUAUAGAAUGUACAUUUGUGCUUCAUGUCUUUCUGUGAAACAUCCCAUAUGUUUAAUACUGUAUUAUCAACACGCCCUCGUCGACUUACAGCACAAGAGAGCAGAUCUCUAAACACGGCCUCGGCGUUUUCCUCACCAAUUUGUACGCUCUGUGCCAAUUAGCUGAUUCCGUAAGAUUCGAUAUUCCCAUGCUGACACCAAUCUCGACAAACUUUUGGGAGGUCGGAAGGUCGGGGGUUCAAGCCACAGCACUUCCAAGCUGCCGCUGUUGGGUCCUCGAGCAAGGCCGUUAACCCUGUCUGCUCCAGGGGGCGCUGUAUCAUGGCUGACCCUGCGCUCUGACCCCAACUUCCUGACAUGCUGGGGUAUCCGAAUUUCACCGUGCUGUAAUGUAUAGGUGAUCACUAAAGACAAAUUAUCAUUAAACUUCACUCGAACUGACAGAGCAAUCCAACGACCCUCAUGCUGCAAUCCGUCGUACACGGAAAAGCCUGACCUCCGACACGGAAAAGUGCGACGGAGCGGUCAUUCGACUUUCAAUUCCCCGACGGGAACUCGGACAACGUCCACCGAGCCCCAUCUUCAUCAGAUUCCGAGACUAGCCAUACAAUUACGAUUACGCCCGGCGCAUCCUACGCCGGAUUGCAGCGUUAAGCCGUGAAGCAGACGAGAGCGUGUUCAAAUCAGCGUCAGAACCUUCACUUUCUUCUGCUUUCCAUCAUUCUGUUUCUCUCAAACAAAACAUCUACUUCCAGAUCCCAACCAGCGAAUUCAAAGCAAGGCUUAUCCCAGCAAAACUCGUAUUUUUACACACUGUAACAAAGCAAAAUGUGUGUCCUUACUAUAAACUACUAUAGCAAUUUCCCCAGGAUCUACAUCUGCAGCUGUAACGAGUCGUUUUAUACAACAGUGAUGUUCUCAACACUGAGAAUUUGAGACACAAACUGCAUAAAUAAAUACACACGACGAAUUUUCAGGCAAUUUCUUUUGUACAAUCAAUAGCGUUUUUCUUAUAGAUAUUUAGUUCUAUGUCUCAGUAUGAUAUUAUAUCACAAUAUACCGUAACAAUAAGCAUACGCAAUACUGUUGACCUUCAGAAUAUCGACUCCUGUGCUCCAUUCAGAAGGAGGUGGUUAAUGUAGCCAGCAUUUAUUUAUUUAUUUAUAUUUAAUUUAUUUAUAUGGGCAGCAUUUGCAUUUGAGGUUUAUAUUUUUCAUGGAUUUAAAAAAAAAAAAAAAAAAAAAAAAAAAAAGGGAAUGAAAAAUGCAUCAGAACGGUGCCGCCAAGGUUCAUGUCUGGUUACGUAAACCUCAGUGAAAAGGAGUUUCUCACAUUGUGAAUAAUUAAUAUGGGCAUUCAACAUUUAUACGCUGUCCUUGAUGGUGUCAUGAUGACAAGCCGUUUGUGUCGGUUAAAGCUAGACUCGAAUGUUCCGAGAUGAAGAUGUAAAGUAAACAAAAAUGAAGUAUAAAAUAAGCAUUACGAAUCGAGACUUCAAGGUUUUAAGGCUGCAUGUAAAUUUGUGCAUAUUAAUUGCACCAUCGUUGUAACGCUGCAUAUUUGAUGUAUUGCAACAUCCCAUAUUUACUCCACUGCAAACAAAAGGAAAAAAAAAUAUAUAUAUAUAUAUCUCAGCUUGUAAAUGCCUUUUUCUCCCUGUUUUUCUCUCUUAAAACAUCGACAUGACAACACUAUAAGCAGGAUAU
ensembl:lncRNA